GAUGAACGCUAGCGGCAGGCCUAACACAUGCAAGUCGAGGGGCAGCACAGAAACAGCAAUGUUUUGGUGGCGACCGGCGGACGGGUGCGUAACGCGUAUGCAACCUACCUUUAACAGGGGGAUAACGGAGAGAAAUUUCCACUAAUACCCCAUAACAUCGAUCAAGGCAUCUUGAUUGGUUGAAAACUCCGGUGGUUAAAGAUGGGCAUGCGUUGUAUUAGGUAGUUGGUGAGGUAAUGGCUCACCAAGCCUACGAUACAUAGGGGGACUGAGAGGUUAGCCCCCCACACUGACACUGGGACACGAACCAGACUCCUACGUGAGGCAGCGGUGAGGAAUAUUAGUCAAUGGGUGCAACCCUGAACCAGCCAUGACGCGUGCAGGAAGACGGCUCUAUGAGUUGUAAACUGCUUUUAAACAGGCAUAAAGCACAGUAUGUAUACUGUGUUGAAGUUACUGUAAGAAUAAGGAUCGGCUAACUCCGUGCCAGCCGCCGCGGUAA
rnacentral:rRNA from 1 species